AGAGCUUGCUUUGGAUACCUUAGUGGCGCACGGGUGAGUAACACGUGGGAACCUACCUUGGAGCGGGGAAUAACUUCGGGAAACUGAAGCUAAUACCGCAUACGCCCUUCGGGGGAAAGGCUUCGGCCACUCUAAGAUGGUCCCGCGUCCGAUUAGCUUGUUGGUGAGGUAACGGCUCACCAAGGCGACGAUCGGUAGCUGGUCUGAGAGGAUGAUCAGCCACACUGGGACUGAGACACGGCCCAGACUCC
rnacentral:rRNA from 1 species